rnacentral:rRNA from 1 species
UGGGGAAUAUUGCACAAUGGGCGCAAGCCUGAUGCAGCCAUGCCGUGUGUAUGAAGAAGGACUUCGGGUUGUAAAGUACUUUCAGCGGGGAGGAAGGGAGUAAAGUUAAUACUUUUGCUCAUUGACGUUACCCGCAGAAGAAGCACCGGCUAACUCCGUGCCAGCAGCCGCGGUAAUACGGAGGGUGCAAGCGUUAAUCGGAAUUACUGGGCGUACAGCGCACGCAGGCGGUUUGUUAAGUCAGAUGUGAAAUCCCCGGGCUCAACCUGGGAACUGCAUCUGAUACUGGCAAGCUUGAGUCUCGUAGAGGGGGGUAGAAUUCCAGGUGUAGCGGUGAAAUGCGUAGAGAUCUGGAGGAAUACCGGUGGCGAAGGCGGCCCCCUGGACGAAGACUGACGCUCAGGUGCGAAAGCGUGGGGAGCAAACAGG